rnacentral:lncRNA from 1 species
AGCAAGCUUGAUUAGAGCUUGAUCAUGACGAAGUACAACCGGAGGAAGAACCGACAGGCCGGCCUCUCCUCUAAUCCUCCUUCGCUCUCCAUCUUGCUACUAUCUAGAUCUACUCCAGUUUAGAGAAGAGAGGAGAGCUCUCAUCUCUAAACCCUAGGUUUUGCUCUGUCUAUGAAUAAUGAAUAAUGAUCAAGGGGUGCCUCCUCUAGGGGCCAGGGGGUCUGGUUAUAUAGUCUUUUCAGAUGAAUCUGGGCCGUCGGAUCAAACCGACAUUGAUCGUGUGGUUUUCCUUGAAGUAUUAGGUCGGUGGAGCAUGAUCCGCGAAGUUGAAGCUGAUUGGUUACUGUAGCUGGGCGGGCACCCAAGGGACUUGGGCGGGCACCCUGCCCCCGGGCCCGAUCGGCCUCCCGUUCGUUCCCGUGGCUUCUGGAGUCUUCUAGAUGGUAGAAAAUUGCGCGGCACAUUAAUAUCUCUAUGUAAACCUGACGUGUGGGCCUUUCUUUCAUAUUUCCUAAUAACCCCCUGUAGAAAUAGACAAACACCAAAACUCGUGGAAUUCUGUCAGAUAAAACCCUAAGUCUAGAUGUUGAUUUCAUUUGGAUCCUUUUCUUUGUUUAUUUGAUAAUUAAAUUUGAUACUUAAGGACCGUCAACAAACUCCCCCAAGCUUAUCUCUUGCUCAUCCCUGAGCAAGGAUAGACUCAGCAAUGGAUGAGAAGUUGUUGCAAUAUCUUAAAAAUUUGACGGUACACAUGCUUUUAAAUAAGAUCUCAUCUCUGAGUUAGAGUAAACUGUCAAGAACUAAAACUUACUUACUUUACCUUUCACCAUGGGACUUGUAACCGUCACUUCUGUCUUGAGUAGUUAAAAGAUAGAACAGUCUAGCCAAGUGCCAUGUCUCUUAUUCUUGAUCAGCUAUAGCUCUUGAGUUUUUGCAGAUUUUCAAAUAAAACUCAGAGAUUCCUUGUAUGACUCUCUAAAUCUCUCUUUUGUGGUAUUUCUGGAUCCUUACCAAGGCAGUGAUGGUAUAUGCCUUCUCUCAAGAUAUGUGGUAUUUGUGGUAUAAGGCAUAGUGACAUUGCCUUCUCUCUCACCCUACUCUAAUAAGGCUUUAAUAUCUAGAGCUCAUAGGUGGGAGAUAAAGUAUACAUACUUACAAGACAUUUAUUGUAUAGUCAAACCAUGGAUCCAAAGAAACAAAUCAAUAAGCCAAAUCAAGAUGUGCAUGUGUGGCAAAUGAAUGGUGUAUGGUGAUGAUGGUGAUAAUAAUGGUGAAAGUCUAAUUCUACUUUUGCUCUUUUGAGGGGAUACAUACCUUCCUUGCUUUUUGAAACUUUAUGAGGAGAAUGAGAUGCUCUAUCUUUCAUUUUUCUUUCCUCUCAGGUGGGUAUCCUGUACCCCUAAUUCUACUGUCGGACACUUGUCCAUUUUUACCUCUCGUCUCACUCUUUUUUUUUCUUUCGAGGUUCCGGGCACUUGCCCCUUUUUAUUUCCUCGUUUAUUUAUUUUUUUUCUUUUCUUCUCUUUUCUUUUUUCAGAGCACUCAUCUCUUGAGAUAAUAUAGCAAGUGGUAGUAGCAAGAUAACUUGAGCAUUUAUUUCAUAAGGGAAAACAGAAAUAUUUUUGGCUAUUCUCUCCCGAAUUAGGAGUAGAAUAUUUUUGGGUGGUUCUGGAGAUGAACAUGGAUGGAUAUAUGUGGAUGGUACUUCCGGAGUAGAAGUAGCAUAUAUGAGUGAACGUGCAAGUGAAUCUUGAUUUAACCACAUGACAAGCUCCUAAGGUUCUACAUAGCUUGACCACACUCAAUGCUCCUAAGCAGUAAAUAAUAAAUAUGUGGCUCAAAGUCUAGCAAGCAUGUAUAUAUAUGGUUGUGGUAGGAAUUUAAACUCUCACCAUACAGGAACUCAUCAUGCAAUAUUUUAAAGAUUUUUCAAAGAUAAAAUUCUCCAGAAUUCUAGCAUCUCUAGGCUCAACCUUUCCAUAUCGUAUCCGUUAACAACUUAGAUUUCAGAUCAAGUUUUCAUCCCACAAGUUUAGAUCUAGAGCAAGCUUUAAAUUAUAACAGUUAUGUCUAAACUUGAGAGAGAACUUCAAAUUUGCAAAUUAGGCAGAGCAACUAUUCAUCAUAUCCAUGCUAGAGUUUUAUUAUUAAGAUUCAGAUUAGCAUAGCCACUUUAUUUAUUUAUUAAACACACUAAGCAAAAGAUAUAUAUAUAAGCACAAAAUCUUUAUUUGGUUUUUCAUAGUUUAUGUAUUUUAAUAUUCUAAUAUAAUAUAAGUAUAAAGAUAGGUAGAAAUACUUAGCGAGAUAAAUGGGGGUGCUCUCCCCCAAGCUGAAUUUUGACGUAAUUUCUCUUGAUGUAGCUAGCAGGUGGCAGAGGUGUAUUUGAAAGUCAGCAGUAUUCUGACAGCGAUUAGAAUGUCCUCCGUCUGCUAGUCUUCUUGAUUCUUAAAUUCUGUGGAGCUCAAAUAGACAACAAAGCUUGUGGAACUAAUUAAGUGUUAGCAUAAAUAUAUAGCCUUCAUCAUGUUGAGCUUCCUCAACAAAUAUUACUCUCUGUUUUUAUAUUUUAAUUUUAUAAAGCAGAAAAGAAAUAUUUAUUUUAUUUUUAUGCCACCACAGUGAAGGUACUUAUGGGUUUUAUGCCACUCGUAUACUCACAUGGGGCUUAGUAUUUUUUAACAUUUUUAUUUUCUAUUCAAGAUAGCAUGAUUAACUAAUAAUCUAUUUAAGGAAAGUAAAUAAUUAAAGGGAAAAGGGAAUGCAGAAAGGAUAAAUAUGGAUAACUACCGAUCUUACCUUUCGGCGAUGGUUCAAUGUUUUAAGUCUUUUUAACAAGACUUCUCACCGUGUCCAUUCUUCAGGUGCGUCAUUUGAUUCAGGAGCGGACCUUGACGUCUGCACCUCUUGAUACGGUGUCACCCAUGUUCUUCGUUUGCCCAGCAGUUCGAAGUGCGGCGUUGGCAGUAACCUGCUCAGUGUGUUUGUGCUCGUAGAUCCAGGUCCUUCACUUGGUAGAGUCUGAGAGUUAUAAAACUCCUCUGUGUUUUUCUCAAAGUGUACCUGCUCAUAGAGACAAGGCAGAGAUCAAGUGCAUGGGUCCUGUUGGUGGAAAACACCAACAGAACCUAAAGUGUAUUUGUUCUUCUCUAACCCUAAGCAUAGUGAGCAAGACAAAGUUGAUGGAUGAAAAGUUCAUGAGUGUAGUACUUAUAACAUUUGUCAGAUCAGAUCGCUCAACCUUAUGGAAAGAUAAUCUAUCUAUGUAUAUGUCUUUUUCUUUAUAUCUCUCAAUGAUUGAAUGUGUAACAUUUUAGCUCAUAUGAUUAGGAGUGUGGGAUCAUGGAGGUAGUACUAAGAACAAGGAUUAAAGGACUAAACAUGUUGAAUCAGUUGGGUUGGUUAAUCUAGAGUUGUAAAUCAUACAUGUUUGUCUCUUUUAUUUAUAUGAACGCCAGAACCAAGGAGAAGCUUAUUUUAGUGAUAGUCAAGUACCUCAAGAUGUUACCUUGCUUGAAGAGUGAUGGUACAGUAUCACCUUGUGGAAGCUAUCCUUUCUUAGCGGUUGUGCAUCGUUUUUGUGGCACCCUCCAUGGAUCAUCUCUCUACGAUGAAUGAGCUAUGUCCUUCUUGUGCAAAUUGUUAAACUUCAUGUGUCACUCUCUUCGUCUCUGAUGUGAGUCUAUCUCAGGACUUCCCAAAUCGAUAUUGAAAGUUUUUUCUGCAGGGGUUAGUCCGACAAAAAUAUACCAAUGUCUACACAAGCAGUUUUUAGUUCAAUAACCGAACUAGACUCCAUGUCUAAUCACAUUAAGGAAGGCUGUUUAACCUAAGCACCAUGCUUAAUUUAAAAGCCCAUAGAAGUAUGUGCAGUACUUCCAAACUAACACUUACUAGACAAAGGUAACAUGACAGCAUUUAUAGAGAUCUACUCAAGUGGAGAUGAAGUAGUGUGAUUAGUAUUUAACAAAUUGAGCAUGUCUUAAAGGUAGGGACAACCAACAUAGCAACAUGGCAAAGGAUAUUUUUAUGUAAAGUACUCCCCCAAGCUUGAAUUUUGCAGAAUUCAAGUUUGGAUGAAUUUAAUUCAAUGUUGCAUGAUGAUUGGUUGGACAUACCUUGUACUUGCUUGUCAUUCAUCUGAUCUUCUUGUUCCAAUCUUGGAAAGGUUAGUGACAAGAAUACCCGAAGGAAUAUUUUUACAAUUAUCCUUAUAUGCUCAAUACACAAGGUAAUGUUGUAAAUAAUUAAAAACACAUGUUACGAUCUGAUCAGUGCUUAUUUUAGGACACCAAGCUUGUCCUUGGGAAACCAUCAAUUUAUGUCGGCGAAGUAGUUUCCCUUCCAACGCUGACCUAAAUCAAGAUCAACUCAACGAGAUCUGCAAUAUUUAUUAUAGACAUAUGCAUCGACAACCGCCCUUUUAAAGUUUUUAUAAAUAGAAAGGAAGAGGGGGUUGGAGAUCUCAAAUGUGGUGAUGUUGGAGAGACCAAUAGAUUGGGAAGAUGUUGCAUGUGAGCAUGGAGUAAACAAAGUGGCUAUGAAAUAAAUUCCAUGCUCAUUAAUGUUAUCUUCGUCUCCAAUUUGAAUGUUCAGAGUUUCGCUUGGAUUGGUCUCACUUAUGUCCUCUUCUAUAUUGGAUGAAUCUCAUCUUCAAAGGGAGUCAAGAACUCAUCAUUUGAAAUUGAGCCAAAGUCAGAAUCCAUUAAGGCUUCUUCCUUAUCCAUCCAUUCUACACAUUCUAGCCAUUUGGAACUUGUGAUCAGGAAAGGGGAGCUGAUAGAAUUUUCAAUAUGGCUUAGCUCUCCUUCACUUGAUAUGUCAUCCUCGACUUCUUCAUAACAGGAACCAGGACAUUCUCUAAGAGAACCAUUAUUGCGAGGAUUUGAAUUAUCCCUGCUUGAAGGUCUCUUAUGGAACCAGAAGUCUAAACCAUCAGCAUCUGAAAGAUUUAAGGUCGGAAUUCCUUCCUCCCUUGGAGAAUUUUGGGGUAUUGAUGGUUUAGGAUCGAUAGCUAAAGUUUGGAAUUGAAGUGGUUGUGAUCUGGCUAUCGAAACUUCUUCUUCUUGUCUAGGAACUGGUUUUGUCUCUUUCUCAGGGAUAUAAAAGCUAGGAGACUUUCCACUUAAUAAAUCAAUCAAAUUCCAAGCUUCACUAGCAGGUAGGUGAUAGAAGGAUCCUCUAGAGGCUGUAUUCAAGGUUUGCUUAUUUUCCCCACUAAGGCCCUCAAAAAAAUGAAUUAGAAGAACUUCUUCUGGAAUAGAAAGCUUUGGGCCAGUGAGAGUAAGGUUAAUAAAGCGGUCCCAUUAUUUCCUAAGAGAUUCUUCUUCCAGUUGUCUAAAAGAAAUAAUCUCACGCCGAAGUUCCGCCACUUUGGAGAUUGGAAAAUAUUUAGAAAGAAAACUACUAUAUAACUCCUUCCAAUCUCCAUGAACACUCCCUAUUUUGAGUUUGUACCAAUAUAUAGCUUUUCCCGUUAAAGAGAACGGAAAGAGCUUCCAUUUGAGGGUCUCAUCGGACAUUCCUUCUAUGCGAAGGAGGUCACAGACUUGAUAAAACUCUCUUAGGUGUGUGUAUGGGUUUUCCUCACCUUCUCCUGAGAAAGGUUGUUUUUGAACAAAUUCUAUGUAUUCGGGGUCUAUCUCAAAACUAGAUGCUAUGAUAGGCUUUGAAGAUUUUGGUGGUUCGAGAUGUGUGCCCGUACGUCUAUGAAAUUCAUAGAUAGACAUGUUUGAAUUCAUGAAAGACCAGAAAUCAAGGAUUAGAUAAGAAGAAAGAUUAGCAGAGAUGAGGCAAAGGAUAAAAGGAAAAUAUAUAUUUUUUUAUUUUUUUAGAAAAUGAUUAAGCUAGUUCGUAGUCAACUCAGCAACCGUUUCCCCGGCAACGGCACCAAAAAUGCUUGUUGACACUUGCUAACACCACUUGAAUACUAGGUUGUCAUCCCUAGCAUGGCACUAGAGUGUACUAUGGUAUUUAUACGCACACAGAUAAUCCGCAAGCGCACGGAUACCGUUGAAGCUUUUACCCGGUUAAAGGUUUUAUCGUAUCCACAGGGAAACGGGAGAACCAACUACGCUCUAACUUAACCAAGAUAGAUAGAUAGGUGAAAAUAGGAAAGAUAGUAGAAUCGAAUAAGAACAAUAUUAAAGGUAAGAUAACAGUGAGUGAUAAUAUGGGAAUAGAGAAUAGAGCAAUUCUAGUAUAUGGGCGAUGGUAGCAGAAUAGAGAGAAUAACUAUGGUUUCUCUACUUCAAAGGGGUAUGUCUAUGUCUGGGAGGAACCACGUGAUAAGAUUACACCACAAAGGAUGCUUAUCCAUAGGCCGAUAAACCCUACCCGUCCUGCUAACGAGAGGUGGACUAUAGAGGACCAACGUAACUAUCACCUACGCGGCCUACCACACGAUCCAGCUAGACAGGGGAUAUCCACAAGUAAUCUAGAUCUAAGCACCUCGCUUACACCUAUACUACAACUCUAACCUAUAGCGUCCUAUAGAUUAGAAGUACUCAAAAGAGUUGUGAACCAGAACAUACAUAAUUAGUAAUUGCAUAAUGAAUUAGAAGUAGAUUACUAGAGUCAUCCCAUGAGCAAGCUUGAUUAGAGCUUGAUCAUGACGAAGUACAACCGGAGGAAGAACCGACAAGCCGGCCUCUCCUCUAAUCCUCCUUCGCUCUCCAUCUUGCUACUAUCUAGAUCUACUCUAGUUUAGAGAAGAGAGGAGUGCUCUCAUCUCUAAACCCUAGGUUUUGCUCUGUCUAUGAAUAAUGAAUAAUGAUCAAGGGGUGCCUCCUCUAGGGGCCAGGGGGUCUGGUUAUAUAGUCUUUUCAGAUGAAUCUGGGCCGUCGGAUCAAACCGACAUUGAUCGUGUGGUUUUCCUUGAAGUAUU